ensembl:lncRNA PRKCQ-AS1 PRKCQ antisense RNA 1
ACCUCUAGCCAGGGACGCGCGCUCGGUCCCCCGCCGUGCGCCCCCGGUCCCGCGCCCAGGCUCCCGCCCCUGGCCUCCUUACCAGCCACUUGUCGCCCAGCUGCGAACUGGAGCGGGAGGCGGCGGCCGGAGGGCCCAGGACAGCCCCGGGAGGGCGGCGAGGCGGAGCAGGAGCGCCCCGGCUCCGGCCACAUUCUCAGAGUCAGGAAAAGGGGCGAGAGGCCACAUGUCUCCCUCUCGCCCAACUGAAAACGAAACGGCGCUCCAGCAGAUUGGGUGGAAAGAGCUGGGUCUCUUUUCUCUGUUUUUCACGCUAGAAAGGGCUUGUAAACAUUGUUCCUUUUAAAAUGACCUACCCCAGGCAUUUGUUUGGGCACACUUCUGUCCUGGGGUCAUCGUUCCUAGGUGGCUUCGGACCUGGGACUUUUCCUGUAUCUGCACAUUGUCGUUUUAUACACAAUUGCCAAGGUGGGACUGCUUUCAACUUUACUGUGCUUGAAGCUGCAAAGGUUCUGCCCUGAUGUUUCCUGGAAUAAUGCUGAGGACUGCCUUUCGGGUAGCCGCCCUAUUCAGUUCACUUCAUCUCGGAAAUACCUGACCCCUGCCUUGGAUCCAGCGGCCCUCCUGAGAGCUGAGGAAGGAGGAAAUCCUAUGUGUCUGCUCCCGGAGCUGCCACAACCCAUCUUCCCACAACUCGGAACUUGGAAAAAGGAACCCAGGACACGACUUUGCUUUUCUUUUGGACCUAGUUGGUGAUUAUACUCUGUCUCCCAUGGAGACCACGUCUUGCAUCCUUCCUUCUAUAUGGGAUUUAGGAUAGAAAUUAAAAAGAAAACAUAUUAUUUUGAGUCUUGAUUUGGAGAAAGGUAGUAUUCAGGAGGAAGUAGGCUAUGAUACACAUAGAAAAUUUGAGGACAGUGUUACUUAACAAGGACAUUUCUGUCUCUGCAGAAGUCACAGCUUGGAGGAAACCAGUUUGCACUAUUUGAUGAGGAAUUUGGCCACCAAACCACUGAUACUUUCCCAAAGGUUUGGCAGAAAUUGUUUUUUGAGUGGCUCACCAGAGUACCCAGAAGAAUCAGUAUGGAAUUAGAGGACAGUGGCCUACCCUAAAUAAAGACAUGAGUGAUGUAUAAA